rfam:Aedes aegypti strain Liverpool supercont1.10 genomic scaffold, whole genome shotgun sequence.
UGCACGGUAGCUUAGUUAGUUAAGCGCUCGUCUAGCAUACAAGAGUCCUGGGUUUAAAUUCCAGCCAAGCAC